rnacentral:rRNA from 1 species
GUGCCAGCCGCCGCGGUAAGACGAACUGUGCGAACGUUAUUCGGAAUCACUGGGCUUACAGGGUGCGUAGGCGGCUUGUUAAGUAGGGUGUGAAAUCCCCCGGCCCAACCGGGGAAUUGCGCUCUAAACUAGCAGGCUUGAGUGAGCUAGGGGUGCACGGAACUUCCAGUGGAGCGGUGAAAUGUGUUGAUAUUGGAAGGAACACCGGAGGCGAAAGCGGUGCACUGGGGCUUAACUGACGCUGAGGCACGAAAGCCAGGGGAGCGAACGGGAUUAGAAACCCUAGUAGUCC